CCUGCCAUGAUUCUGAGGCCUCCCCAGCCAUGUGGAACCCUGACAGGCCGCGGUCACCACUGCCACCACCACUCUGAAUUAUUCAAGACCCUCCAGGCCUCAGUGGCAGCCCUUCCCCUCUCCCUGCACAACCGGGCUGUCAACACCAGCCUCUGAGCCUCUGCCAGUGAUCUAUGGACCUCAGGGCCCCCGAGCUUUGGCCUGCUCAGGCUCUGCUUGUCAUGGCUGAAAUCCCCUGGACUGCAUUGGGACCAUACCGCUGAGAGUCUGGUCGCUGGGCUUCCGCUGACAGAACAUCAGAGCCCCAGGACCGAAGAGCCACAGGUUGGGAAGCUGCCACCACUGGGAAUGGUACAUUCAGGAGGGCAUGGUUUUACAGAGAAGUUUGAGGCCCAGAGAUGUGUGAGCUGCACUCCAAGUCACACAGCAAGUUUGGUUCAUUAGCAGGGACCGCCACGGAACGGGCUGCAGGCCGCGAGUGUAGAGCUUGGCUGGGCCAGAUCGAUAUCUGCCCGCUGGACUGAUGCGCGAGGGAGGCUGCGAGACAGGCUGGCUUUGCUGCAGUGUGAUGGCCGCGCAGCACCCACCGACCCCCACAGCUCCCCCACCCCGCCAUUUCCUUCAUCUAGCGCUCUAGGGGAAACCGAGGCGGGCAAGUGGCGUAGCGAUGGAGGGCGUACCCAGGGGCAACGACGCUCCCUCGCUCUGGCUUCCAGCUCUGGUAGCGGGGGUGAGGGUAGCUCAGGGUCGCACCCUGCUCCCAACCUCGGCUCGUCCCCACCCUCCACGGUCGUCCGCAGCUCUGCGUUUCUGCCAGUAUCGUGUCCCCUCGCCCCGUCCUUCGCCCUCCUCCCACUUUCAUUGUGUGUCUCCUCUCUGGCUCUGAGGUUCCUCCUCCCUCCCUUCUCUCUCUGGGUGUCUCCGUGUCUAUCUCCACAUCUCCAUUUCUUUCUCUGCCUCUCUCUGCCUCUAGCUGUCUCUGUCCCUCAGUCUCUGCUCGGGUCUCCGCUCGCCUCUUGCUCAUUUUCGUUCCUCCCUUUGUCUGUCUGACUCUCUCUUCUCUCCCCCCCUUCAGUCACCCCCCAACCCCCCGCACACACACACACCUCACAGCCCUGUUUACGACAUCCCCCGGGCUGGCAGGUAGGCGGGGCUGCAGCAGAGCGGGGGUGAGAGAGGGAGGCGCAGCCUCCCCCCCAGCUGUUAACCUUCACGCUUCAGGCCUCUGCGGAUGGCAGAGGAGGGGGAAAGCCCAGCUGCCAGCUUGGCGGAGGUGACCGGGCUGGGGGUGGGGGCUGUCCCUCCCUCUGGGCUCGUCUCUGGGGAGAUCUGGGGCCGGAAGGAAUGUGGUGGAGGCUGCCUUCGGCUGAGGAAGGCUGUUGCCGGAUGGGUGGCCUCCUGAAGGCUUGUGCUGGCGAGGCGGGUGCCCAAAGGGGGCUCUGAGCGGUGUCGGCCCUGCCCGCAGCCCGGCCGGACGUGGGGGCCGGCGUGAGAAUCCCGCCCAUCUGUGAGCCGGCCUCACGCCGUCAGACCCAAUUUAUCUCGCCGCCAAAGUUUCACAGCCAUCUGCUCGAGUGGAACGGCUUCCAGCGCUGGCCCCACCGGGCCCCCCAGCCAGCGCGGGGAUGUUUUCCAAUACGACAGCAUUGCCCCCCCCCAAAGCAAGGAGGGGGUGUAGGGGGAGGCGGCAGAGCGCGGUGCGCGGGGCUGGCAGGCAGCCCUCUCCCGCGAGCGAGCCGACCCUGAAUUUUAAGCGAUUGAUCAGGAAGCGCAGGCCGUUCCCAUCACUUUGAGCAGCCAAAUGCGACGGCGCAGGGAUUUCAAGGGGCCUUUGCGGAGGCGGUAAUGAGGUCACCGUCACUGCGCCAGCCCGCGGGCGGGAGGGGGCGAAGGUCUGCGGACACGUGUGAACACAGCCUGUGAACGGAGCCACAUCUGUAUUCACGUGACCCCCGGGGCCCCAGCACUGACCCAGGAGAACUCGGCAUUUGGAUCUGAGCUGAUUCACACUCCGCCGCCCCCAGGCCACCUCCCCAACCAGACAGGGUCGGAGAGACUGAGCUAGAACCCACCCUUGCCACAUCCAUGAUUCCAUGAUCACCUCAGACAGCUUCAGCGCAGGAGCUUCCACUCUCUUCUCCUCCCCGCUAUGUGCCUAAAAUACACAUAUUUGGGCAUCUGCCCAUUGCACUUCUGAACAAGCCUGCAGAGACAGAUGUACCCUAGGCCCCCGGUAAUCACACAGGUGCACACAUUCCAAUUACACACCUGACCGCAAUGCUCAUGCGUUGGUACACUCCCAACCACCACCACUACCAGCCCCAAACAUGCACACAGGUACUCCAUCAUUCUCAAGUCAGCCACCCAGCAACACAUGAGACCCCAAACUCCCCUCCCCCCGGGCACACGCAUGUGCACACUCAUUCCCAAGACCCCGAGCUUGCUGCCAUGUCCGCGCGGGUGGGCGCCUCCACUUCCCGCCAGGCAGCGCGGGUGCAGACCUCGAAGAGAACAAAGGCCGGGCAGGUGGGAGGGAGGGGGGCUGAGCCCCCGGCCCGUCCUCCUAGGCAAUGCUCGUCUGUCUCGGCUCCGCGGCCACCGCAUCGAGCGGCUCUGAUUACCAAGUAAAUCACCGCGAUGAUCUGAAUAAUUAUCGUCUCCUGAAAAGGGAAAAAAGCGGAAUAAAUAAAGG